CCUACGGGUGGCAGCAAUUAGGAAUCUUGCGCAAUGGGCGAAAGCCUGACGCAGCGACGCCGCGUGACUGAUGAAGUCUUUCGGGAUGUAAAGGUCUUUUCUGGGGGAAGAAGGAUGUGACGGUACCCCAGGAAUAAGCCCCGGCUAACUACGUGCCAGCAGCCGCGGUAAUACGUAGGGGGCGAGCGUUGUCCGAAUUUACUGGGCGUAAAGCGCGCGUAGGAGGGCUAUUAAGUUGGUGGUGAAAUUCCGAGGCUCAACUUCGGAACUGCCGCCAAAACUGGUAGCCUUGAGGUAUGGAGAGGAAAGUGGAAUUCCUGGUGUAGCGGUGAAAUGCGUAGAUAUCAGGAGGAACACCCAUGGCGAAGGCAGCUUUCUGGCCAUAUCCUGACGCUGAGGUGCGAAAGCCAGGGGAGCGAACG
rnacentral:rRNA from 1 species